AGUGAACGCUGGCGGUAGGCCUAACACAUGCAAGUCGAACGGCAGCACAGUAAGAGCUUGCUCUUACGGGUGGCGAGUGGCGGACGGGUGAGGAAUACAUCGGAAUCUACUUUUUCGUGGGGGAUAACGUAGGGAAACUUACGCUAAUACCGCAUACGACCUACGGGUGAAAGCAGGGGAUCUUCGGACCUUGCGCGAUUGAAUGAGCCGAUGUCGGAUUAGCUAGUUGGCGGGGUAAAGGCCCACCAAGGCGACGAUCCGUAGCUGGUCCGAGAGGAUGAUCAGCCACACUGGAACUGAGACACGGUCCAGACUCCUACGGGAGGCAGCAGUGGGGAAUUUUGGACAAUGGGCGCAAGCCUGAUCCAGCCAUACCGCGUGGGUGAAGAAGGCCUUCGGGUUGUAAAGCCCUUUUGUUGGGAAAGAAAAGCAGCAGGUUAAUACCCCGCUGUUCUGACGGUACCCAAAGAAUAAGCACCGGCUAACUUCGUG
rnacentral:rRNA from 1 species